GAUGAAGAACGUAGCAAAAUGCGAUAAGUAAUGUGAAUUGUAGAAUUCAGUGAAUCAUCGAAUCUUUGAACGCACAUUGCGCCCGCCAGUAUUCUGGCGGGCAUGCCUGUUCGAGCGUCAUUUCAACCCUCAAGCUCAGCUUGGUGUUGGGACUCGCGGUAACCCGCGUUCCCCAAAUCGAUUGGCGGUCACGUCGAGCUUCCAUAGCGUAGUAAUCAUACACCUCGUUACUGGUAAUCGUCGCGGCCACGCCGUAAAACCCCAACUUCUGAAUGUUGACCUCGGAUCAGGUAGGAAUACCCGCUGAACUUAAGCAUAUCAAUAAGCGGAGGA
rnacentral:misc_RNA from 1 species